rnacentral:lncRNA from 1 species
GGUGCUAUAAAUAAAAACCUAUAAUAAUAAAGACAAAACAUCAUAGUAACUUUUUAAAUGAAUUAAGCAGAAAGUAUCAAUUUAUGUUGAAAAGAAGACAAAACCCAGAGUAGACAAUGGAGCAACAUAGGCAUACCAAAAAAAAUCAUAGAAUAGAAAUUAUAUGAUAUUGUUGUUAAUUUUACUAGCUAGUAUAUUUUGUCUUAACACCAUUUGAACAAAGAUUCACCUUCCAUACAAGUGAUCGACCAAACUGAAUUAAUAGAGAUUUUAUGCACCCUAUGCAAUAGGGAUUACAAAAUAGUGCAUAUACAAAGCCAAAACCUCGGGACAAAUACAAAACAAAAAAUCUAAUUGUUCCUUCUACACCAAAUCUGACAAUGCUUCCUUCUCAUCAUAUAUAGUAACACCAAUUCCACUUGUUUGCCUCCAGUAUCUCACACCAAGCAUACAAGUACAUAUUGCAAACUAAUAUUUGAGAAGAAACAACUUGAGAAGGCCAACAAAUUAUCUUUGGCUAGCCUAACCAUUUAUAUACGUUGGAAGAUGCGUCCUUACAUCCGACGCCGGGUAGAUCAUCUGUUUCUUAUUGUGUUAUUCACGCAUAUAGUAUUAAUAUGAGCUCAGCUCACACCCAAACAAAAAAAGACCCUCACAGCUAGCUAGUUCAUGUGUUCUGUUCUAUGCACUACAAAAAAAAAUCUACUUGACCCUCACACCU